GGGGUUGUAGCUCAGUGGCAGAGCACUUGCCUAGCAUGUAUGAGGCACUGGGUUUGAUUCUCAGCACUGCA
rnacentral:tRNA from 1 species